rnacentral:rRNA from 1 species
CUACGGGAGGCAGCAGUGGGGAAUUUUGGACAAUGGGCGCAAGCCUGAUCCAGCAAUGCCGCGUGCAGGAUGAAGGCCUUCGGGUUGUAAACUGCUUUUGUACGGAACGAAACGGCUCUUUCUAAUACAAGGGGCUAAUGACGGUACCGUAAGAAUAAGCACCGGCUAACUACGUGCCAGCAGCCGCGGUAAUACGUAGGGUGCGAGCGUUAAUCGGAAUUAGUGGGCGUAAAGCGUGCGCAGGCGGUUUUGUAAGACAGAUGUGAAAUCCCCGGGCUCAACCUGGGACCUGCAUUUGUGACUGCAAGGCUGGAGUGCGGCAGAGGGGGAUGGAAUUCCGCGUGUAGCAGUGAAAUGCGUAGAUAUGCGGAGGAACACCGAUGGCGAAGGCAAUCCCCUGGGCCUGCACUGACGCUCAUGCACGAAAGCGUGGGGAGCAAACAGGAUUAGAAACCCGUGUAGUCC